UGUAUGAGCUCAGCUGGUAGAGCAUGAGAUUCUUAAUCUCAGAAUUGUGGGUUCAAGCCCCACAUUGGGCAAAA